rnacentral:lncRNA from 1 species
AAAGCAGGGUAGCUGGAAGGACCGAGAAUAGGUGGAGCUUCACACACACACACACACACACACACACACACACACACACACACACGAAAGGAGCCAGAGAGAGGACCCAGACCUGGGGGCAGCAUCUACAGGCCGAGAGGGGCUCCCAGAGGGUCCCGGGACCGAACACUACUGACCAUGCUGCCCUGCCUCCCCCUGCUUCUCCUGAUGGGGCUGCCUGCAUGCACCGGGACAGUUGACAAGAAACUGGCACUCGGAGCUGAAGCAGGGUCCUGGGUAACCGUGACCCUGGAGGAGGUACCUUUGGGGUGAGGCAGGGGCUGGUCCGUGGUGGAGGGGUUAGAAGAUCCCUUCCGCUGGUGCCAGGAGAGUAGGUUGUACAUUGUUAGCCGUGUUGUCUGACUCCCCUCUGUGGGUAGGUUCAGGGCCGUGGCCCCUGGCCUGGCAAACCUCCGAAGGGGCACAUGUACAUGGAACAGUGGGUGAGUGUGUGUGUGGGGGGCAGGGGGGGGGGUGAGCGUGUGUGUGUGUGUGUGUGUGUGUGUGUGUGUGUGUGUCUUAACAUAUACUAUGUUCCUGGCACUGGCCUAAAUGCUUCAUAAAUAUUCACCAAUUUAAUCCUCCUAUCAGCCUUGUGGAGAAGAUAACAUUACUAUCUCCAUCUCACAGAUAAGGAAACUGAGGCACAGAAAGGUCAAACAGUCUGUGCAAGGUUAUGCAGAUUCAGCAGCACAACUGCACAUUUGCCCAAGGUCAGAUUUGGUGUAUCUGUCCGUCAGAGGAUAUUUUCCAGAAUUUCCUUCCUUUUUUUUUUACAUUUAUUUACUUUUGAGAGACAGAGCACAAGUGAGGGAGGGGCGGAGAGAGAAGGAGACACAGAAUCCGAAGCAGGCUCCAGGCUCUGAGUUGUCCGCACAGAGCCGGAUGCGGGGCUCGAACUCACAAACUGAGAGAUCAUGACCUGAGCUGAAGCCCGACGCUCAACCGACUGAGCCACCCAGGCGCCCCCCAGAAUUUCCUUUCAAAGGGAGGGCCAACUUGGGGCGGGACCACUGUUUCGUCUUCUGUAUAGAAACUCUUACUUCCUGAUAAGAGUUUGAUUGCCAGUAUCUUCUACUAAACUGGGGAGAAACCCAAAAAUUAGGCACACAGCCUCUGUGCCCCCACUCCAUCUGAUUGGGAAGACAAAGACCCUGACCUUGGGCAGCUCCCAGACAGGGGAGUGAGGCCAGCAGAGCAAACAGGACCAGUGUUCCGUGAAGGGUUUUAGGAGAGCAAGCCUGAGCCUGGCUCUCCCAGUCCCGGGAUGGUCAGGACCCUGGGGUCACUGGGAGAGCCAUCGAAGGAACAGCCAUUUGUGGUGGAUUUCCAGGAACCCCUGCUUUGUCCCCAAGUGUGGUCGAGAAGACAGCAGGGUGGGCAGUCCUGGGUUCAAGUCUCCGCUUCUCCACUGACGCUGUGCGACCCUGGGAAGGUCACGGCUGCUCUCUGGCCGUGAGUGUCCUCACCUGUAAAAUGGGAGGCGAGGGAAGAUGAUCCCCGAGACUCUCUGCAAGCUGUGACAUGCUUUGCAGCAUCUGUGCCAAACAUCACGGGACCUGGCCCAGGCCCAGGGACACCGAGCCGCGUGACGGGGAGCUCUCUACGCAGCCAUGCGAGAAACAGCACCUCACCCGGUCUGCUGGGCUUCCCAGCCCCCGGAAGCUGGGAGUAGAGGAACCAUUUCCACGAGGGAGGGGACGGAAGGAAGGAACAAGGCAGGGUCAGAGUGACUGGUCACCUCCCCCGCUCUGAGGGAUCCCCCACGUGCAGCUAUCCCUGGAGCUGGGGAUUUGGGUUAAAUGCAUGAGGAGGGCUUCAGGCAGGGGGAGGAGUCUGUCCCGGGUAAAUGGGGACCAGUGUCCAGCCACCCAGGAGGGUGGGAGCGAGGGGAGUCUUGUUUAAUUCAUAGAUAGCCAUUCUGUCCAGCUUGUCUUUGAAGGCCGCCUUUUACCCAAAGUGGUUUUCAUGAGCUUUUCAGAAACGGGUCCAGAUCCCCAAGGAGGCUUUUCCGGUUCCAGGCCAGGCGAGGCGACUCCAGCCAGGUGGCUCGUGUUACUUGAGGGCUCUAGCUGCCUGUCUUCAGCCUUCCUGGGAAAGGAGACCCCCAUCCUCCUCCCUCUUCCCAGAAUGCCAGAGAAAGAGCCCCUCUUCGGCAUUCUGUAUCCCACACCUGCUGUGUUCUAGGCUCUGUGCCAGGUACUGGGCGCACAGAGAUGUGAAGAUGGUCUAAUGACUGUCACCCAUUGUCACUCUCUCCACUAGCAAGCCUCUCUCCCUCUCGGCAGAGCUGAGCAAGCCCUUCGGGGUUAAGGCCAGAAAGUGGGAGGACAUUGGCCCACAUCACGAAGGCUGAUGGAAAAAUGAGAACUUCAACCCAUAGCCCUCGGCCCAGAACUUUCAGCCCAGCAGCUCAAGGAUGAAAAGGUCUUUGGGGGCACCUGGGUGGCUCAGCCAGUUGAGCGUCUGACUUCGGCUCAGGUCACGGUUCGUGAGUUCGAGCUCCGAGUCGGGCUCUGUGCUGACAUCUUGGAGCCUGGAGCCUGCUUCGGAUUCUGCGUCUCCCUCUCUCUCUGCCCCUCCCCUGCUCAUGUUCUGUCUGUCUCUCUCUCUCAAAAAUAAAUAAACAUUAAAAAAAACGAAAGAAAGAAAGAAAGAAAGAAAGAAAGAAAGAAAGAAAGAAAGAAAAGAAAGAAGAAAGAAAGAAAGAAAGAAAGAAAGAAAGAAAGAAAGAAAGAAAAUGCCUUUGCCCAGGGUCAUGGCCUCUACCCCAGGCCUCAUGCCAUGUUCCACAUGGGAGACCCAGGCUGUUGGGUAGGGCACGCGUGGGGGGGGGGGGGAAGUCAGGGGAGAAGCAGUGGGAGUGAGGGUGCAGGGGGAGGUCUCCCGCCUUGCCUACCAGGUGCCCACCAUGAGUUCAUCAGCUGCCCCCCGCCCCUUGUCUAUGCUUGGAGACAUUUCUAAGAUCGAGCAGAACCCAGGCCCUGGAGGCAGACUCCUUGGGUUCAAAUCCUGCCUCCACCACUUCCUGUGUGACCUUGGACAAGUCACUUACCCCCCACCCAUAAGUCUUAGUUUCCCCAUCUGCAGAGUGGGGAUAAACCACAGUCACUACUUCGUAUGGUGUUUGUGAAGAGUAAACGAGAUUUUGGCCUUUGAGCCAGGUGACCCAGAUUCAAGUUGUGGCUCCGUCUCUGGACAAACCAAUCUCUCCGUGCCUCGGCGUCUUUGUCUGUAACCUGGUAACCAUACCGGUUCUUAGUUGGUGUGGCUUCAGCGGGGAUGAAAUGAGUUCAUAUGCGGAAGCGCCGGGAACCGUGUGAGGAACGUAACAGGCAGAACGUUAGCUAUCUAUUGCGUCUAGUAGGCACAGUAUUGGGUAAAGAAUGCGCCAGAGCCGCGUGCCCGCACGGAGCAAGGGUCACGAUGCUGCUGGUGUUCAGGCUGCCCUCCCGGUCUCGUCUCCGGCCUCUAACGAUGAACUCUUUGCUUCCCCAGGACGGUGUCGUCCCCCACAUUCAGCUCACGCUUCAGGAGGUGAAAAGGGGCAAAACGAGCCAGUUCUUUGGGCUGAUGGGGAAGCGGGUGGAAGGU